rnacentral:rRNA from 1 species
CCUACGGGGCGCAGCAGUGGGGAAUAUUGGACAAUGGGGGCAACCCUGAUCCAGCCAUGCCGCGUGUGUGAAGAAGGCCCUCGGGUUGUAAAGCACUUUCAGUGAGGAAGAACGCCUGGUGGUUAAUACCCAUCAGGAAAGACAUCACUCACAGAAGAAGCACCGGCUAACUCCGUGCCAGCAGCCGCGGUAAUACGGAGGGUGCGAGCGUUAAUCGGAAUUACUGGGCGUAAAGCGCGCGUAGGUGGCUUGAUAAGCCGGUUGUGAAAGCCCCGGGCUCAACCUGGGAACGGCAUCCGGAACUGUCAAGCUAGAGUGCAGGAGAGGAAGGUAGAAUUCCCGGUUUAGCGGUGAAAUGCGUAGAGAUCGGGAGGAAUACCAGUGGCGAAGGCGGCCUUCUGGACUGACACUGACACUGAGGUGCGAAAGCGUGGGUAGCAAACAGGAUUAGAUACCCCAGUAGGC